rnacentral:rRNA from 1 species
AUUGAACGCUGGCGGCAGGCCUAACACAUGCAAGUCGAGCGGAGCGGCAGACGCGUGAGUAAUGCCUAGGAAUCUGACUGGUAGUGGGGGAUAACGUCCGGUAACGGGCGCUAAUACCGCAUACUCUCAGAUGAGCAUAGGUCGGAUUAGCUAGUUGGUUGGGGAAAGGCCUACCAAGGCGACGAUCCGUACCUGGUCUGAGAGGAGGAUCAGUCACACUGGAACUGAGACACGGUCCAGACUCCUACGGGAGGCAGCAGUGGGGAAUAUUGGACAAUGGGCGAAAGCCUGAUCCAGCCAUUCCGCGUGUGUGAAGAAGGUCUUCGGAUUGUAAAGCACUUUAAGUUGGGAGGCGUUACCAACAGAAUAAGCACCGGCUAACUUCGUGCCAGCAGCCGCGGUAAUAC